rnacentral:SRP_RNA from 1 species
UCUGACUGAACUCCCCCAGGGCCGGAAGGCAGCAAGGGUAGGUCGGCUCUGGCGGGUGCGUGGGGGGCGCUUGCGUU